GAUGAACGCUAGCGGGAGGCCUAACACAUGCAAGCCGAGCGGUAUUUGUCCUUCGGGACAGAGAGAGCGGCGUACGGGUGCGGAACACGUGUGCAACCUGCCUUUAUCUGGGGGAUAGCCUUUCGAAAGGAAGAUUAAUACCCCAUAAUAUAUCGAAUGGCAUCAUUCGAUAUUGAAAACUCCGGUGGAUAGAGAUGGGCACGCGCAAGAUUAGAUAGUUGGUGAGGUAACGGCUCACCAAGUCAGUGAUCUUUAGGGGGCCUGAGAGGGUGAUCCCCCACACUGGUACUGAGACACGGACCAGACUCCUACGGGAGGCAGCAGUGAGGAAUAUUGGACAAUGGGUGAGAGCCUGAUCCAGCCAUCCCGCGUGAAGGACUAAGGCCCUAUGGGUUGUAAACUUCUUUUAUACUGGGAUAAACCUACUUACGUGUAAGUAGCUGAAGGUACAGUAUGAAUAAGCACCGGCUAACUCCGU
rnacentral:rRNA from 1 species